CCAGGCCACGGAAGAGCAGCCUCUGCUGGCAGCGGCCCCAGAGACAGCCCGGACCACCCUUCCCCCGCCCCAGGCGGCACCAGGACCCUGGAGGGCGCUGGGGGUGGAGACCCCACAGGUGAGGCCCCUCUCCUCCCUUCCUCCGGGUCCCCGCAGGUGCCGGGCCAGGCCAUCAGACCGUGCCCCCACCCACGCUGGGCGGAAGGCCGGCAGCCCUCAGGCCCGCCCUGCCUUACUCGCUGGGGCUCAAGAUGGCUGUCGAAGCCUGGCUCCCAACCCAAACUUCCGGAUGCUGGUGCCACCGCCGGCCUCGUGACCACCCCCCCCCAGCCCCUCCCUCCCCCUGAGAAUUCCAAGCAGGUCCUGGGUCCCAACCCAGCUUUACAAAAAAGGACUGGCUGGUGCCUCGGACCCAGGGCUCUGAGGCCAGAGUUGGGGCAGAAGGACCCCUCUGUCCUCCGUCCUCCCUGCCCACUUCGGGCCCCAGCUCUCUUCUGAGUGCCCUCUGAGAGCCAGGGCAGCUCCAGACCCUGGAGAUGGGAAGGCCCUGAGGGAACCAGAUGAUGAGGAGGCUUGGGGGCUGGACACAUCAGGGCAGGGGUUGCUGGCGACCCAGAGGCCGGAGUACUAGGAAAGGAGCAGGGCAUGGGGUAGGGUGAGGGUGACCCAGGAAGGCCUCUCUGAGCAGGCAGCCCAGCAGGGACUAGCCGGAAGCCAAGCAGAAGGACCUAGAGGCCAGAGGCGGCCCAGGUGCCAUUGAGGAGGGCUUCCUGGUACAGCCCCAGCAAAGGUGCCAACUCUCCAGGGGGGGAGGUGGGCCUGACCUGCUGGGAGACCCCAACCACCAGCGCAGGAGGAUCCCUGCGCUUUUACCCAGAGCAGAGCAGCUGCCCAGUGUACCCGAGCCAAGUACAUCUAAGCCCAGAGACAGCCUGGCCACCCAGCUGCCCUGGGGAGACGCGUGCGCCCUGCAGCUCUGGCGGGUUAAUGAUUGGCUGCCUUGCUCCAGGCUGUGGAGGCAACUGAGCACCCAGCCCCAGGCCAUCGUGGGAAAGGCCACUGGGCUGGCACCCACACCAGUUUUUUGGGUUAUGAGGCAGUUUUUGAGUUUGAGCCUAGAUGUCAUGAUAUUGCCACUUGGGCAGCACCCCUCCCAGCGGUGGGGGGUAGUCACAGAGGAGCAGGGGGUGGGCCAGCCCAGCUGGGAGCCUCCGAGGGGCCUGGGUCUCGAAAAGUGAUGUGGGAGGGGGCGUGGGCUCCCAAGGGGGACAGUGCAGGGUUCGGGCUCAGGCUGAGGGAGAGCAAGUGGCCUGCGGGUGACCAGGGCCCCACUGCCCCCCGCCAGGUCAGCUCCUAAGAUCAGGACAGCCCUCAUCAAGGACUUGGCUAGAGGAGCAGCCCCUACCCCCAGGGCAAAGCGUCUCAGCCACAGACUGGCAUGACCACACAGGCAGGCAGGUGGCCGGGGCUGCGUCAGGCUCUGACCAGGGUCAGGAUGGCCUCCCCCUAGUGGGGGUUGCUGCACGGGACCCUCAAAGUUCGGAGCGGUAAAGGGGUGGAUUCACGUCCUGGGGUGGCCACAGAGAGUUACACAAACGCCGUGUGUUCCCUCAGAGUCCCCGGCCAGGAGCCAGGCAUCAGCGCCGCACUCCCACCCCAGGCUCCAGGGAGGGUCCUGCCCGCCUCUUCUGAAGCCAGGGCUCAGGGCCUCCCGGGUGUGGCCGCCUCCCUCCAGCCUACUCCCCCCGCCCCCCAUCUUCGGUCAGCCUGUCCCCUCUCUGUCCGCCUCCCUCUCGUGAGGACACUGGUCACUGGAUGGAGGGCGCAUCAGCCAAAGCCCAUCGGCAAGGCCCUUCUUCCCAGUGAGGCUGCGGCCGCAGGUUCGGGGCUCAGGACGAGGACACACACGGGGACCGCGUCCACCCCACAAGAAGCACCCUGAGAAGAGACUCUGGUGACUGCAAGGCUUGGAGGGUGGAGGGGGCGCUGGGCAGGGCCCUGGAGGGGAGCCCCCUCCACCCCUUGGGGGGCGCGGUUUCACCAAGUCCCCGCCUCCUGGACCGUGACAUGCCAACUCCACACACUGGGGCUGUGACGAGGGGAGAAACAGAGCAGGAAAAGCCCAGUGAGCAGGAAAUGUUAUGGGGUCAAGUCGGGGUCUGGGCCCGGCUCUGGGGGUUUUGAGAAGGCUCAGGAAUGCUCUGGGAGGAUGGAGGGCCCAGGCGGACCCCUUCUCCAGCCUCAGUCGCUCCCCACUCCACCCCCGCCCGCCCCUGCGGCGCUAGCCUCCUGCCCCUCCCAAUCCACCUGCUCUCCUGGGGCUGUGGUUGCUGGGAGACGGUUGCCUGGUCACCACUGUUGUUUCCCGGGCAGAGGGCUCACACCACCUGGUCGGGCAGGUAAGUGAGACAGGUGGGCCACCGGCAGGGGUCCAGACCCAGCACGAAGGCUGGGGCCUGCCAUCCAGUGCCCCCCACCGGGUUCCCCAGGCCCCCAGGAGCCCUGCGGGUCCUCUCAGGACUCUGCCCAGGAGCAUAAAGGAGGCGUGGGAGGGGAGGGGAGGGGAGGGGAGGGGCCACCUGACUGGGCAGAGGCCCCCCUGUGGAGGGCCCGCACCCCCAGGGCCGUGGCGUGAGGGACAGAGACCCCCAGGCUGGGCUGAGAAGGUCAUGCUUCCCGGGGAUGGCAGCCCCUCAGGCCCAGCUCCUUUGCUCAGGACCAGGUCUGUUUCCCAGAGCCAACUCCCAGAAGAACGGCCUCCUAAAGUCCACGGGGAGCCACGUGCCCCCAGGCAGCUCGCCCCAGGCUGGGAGACACCAGACCAUCCAGCAAGGUCAGCACCUCCUAGCGGCCCGUGUGGCCAAACGCGUGUUUCAGAGAAGGCUCCUGGCGGGACUCGGACGUCACCUCCACCCCUUGGAUGGUUCCUGCAGGUUCGCGAGCGUCUUCUGCUCAUCACACAGGGGCGCCCUUUCCUGCCGGUCUUUUUACCUGACCAGGUAAAAAGUUUACUUACAAAUUCAUUAGAAAGUUGUUUCCACUGAACCCCCCCCCCCCCGCUCUUCUGCAGCACGUCUGGGGACAUGCCCACAUUUUGCCACCAUACAUAACACCCUGUGAACGUCAUUCCGCGUGAAGAUUUGUUACCAUAUUUAGAACUGGUCCCUCCGAGAGUCUGAGAAAUGCCACUGCUCAGCAGAGCCUCUCAGAACGUCGCUCUGAGCCCUGCGCCCGCCUGCCCUGCUCCCCGUGCUGUGGCCCCGCCGGCCACACCCUGCAGCCCCGGCCCGGUGCCCCCGCCCGUGUGUGUCCCCGGGUCUUUUCCUUUUCUUAAUCGUUGCUGAUUUGAAUAACAAGAAAUGGCAAU
rnacentral:lncRNA from 1 species